rnacentral:antisense_RNA from 1 species
CUUCACCGAGCCCAGCCACAGCGGGUGGUCCGCGGGGCGGUCCUUGCCGUAGACGGCGAUGAGGGCCUGGGCCUC